rnacentral:rRNA from 1 species
AUGAACGCUGGCGGCGUGCCUAAUACAUGCAAGUCGAGCGAACAGACGAGGAGCUUGCUCCUCUGACGUUAGCGGCGGACGGGUGAGUAACACGUGGAUAACCUACCUAUAAGACUGGGAUAACUUCGGGAAACCGGAGCUAAUACCGGAUAAUAUAUUGAACCGCAUGGUUCAAUAGUGAAAGACGGUUUUGCUGUCACUUAUAGAUGGAUCCGCGCCGCAUUAGCUAGUUGGUAAGGUAACGGCUUACCAAGGCAACGAUGCGUAGCCGACCUGAGAGGGUGAUCGGCCACACUGGAACUGAGACACGGUCCAGACUCCUACGGGAGGCAGCAGUAGGGAAUCUUCCGCAAUGGGCGAAAGCCUGACGGAGCAACGCCGCGUGAGUGAUUAAGGUCUUCGGAUCGUAAAACUCUGUUAUUAGGGAAGAACAAAUGUGUAAGUAACUAUGCACGUCUUGACGGUACCUAAUCAGAAAGCCACGGCUAACUACGUG